UACGUAGGGGGCAAGCGUUGUCCGGAUUUAUUGGGCGUAAAGAGCGUGUAGGCGGCCUUACAGGUCAGCUGUGAAAACUCGAGGCUCAACCUCGAGAUGUCGGCGGAAACCGUCUGGCUAGAGUCCGGAAGAGGAGAGUGGAAUUCCUGGUGUAGCGGUGAAAUGCGCAGAUAUCAGGAAGAACACCUAUGGCGAAGGCAGCUCUCUGGGACGGUACUGACGCUGAGACGCGAAAGCGUGGGGAGCGAACAGG
rnacentral:rRNA from 1 species